rnacentral:tRNA from 1 species
GCUGCGGUGGCGGAACAGGCAGACGCGCACGCUUGAGGGGCGUGUGGGGCAACCCGUGCGAGUUCAAAUCUCGCUCUCGGCACCA